rnacentral:ncRNA from 2 species
CAUUAAAGGAAAGCGCCAGGUCUGUUUUGAACAGAAGACGAGGAAAGAGCUUAUCGAAAAUUUCGGCGGGUGGCUCUAGGGUCUGCACUCUAAAGACAAGAACAAAGACAAGCUGUGAGGCUUGCAACAAAAACUUGUCGGGCAGUUAG